CUGGCCGCGCCCCGCCGGGCCGUACCGGGCCGUGCCGUGUCGCUGCCGGCGCCCGCAGUGCCGCCGCGCCGCCGGCCGGUCCGCCGGGCCUCGGGCCAUGGCCACCUGGCGGCGGGACGGGCGGGUGACCGGGCUGCAGCGGCUGGGCUGCGCCGGGCUGGCGGGCGCGCUGAGCCUCAGCCUGACGGCGCCGCUGGAGCUGCUGACGGUGCUGGCGCAGGUGGGCACCUGGCACUGCCGGCGGGGGCUGCGCGGCGCCGGGCGCAGCCUGUGCCGCACCGAGGGCCUGCGGGCCCUCUGGAAGGGCAACCUCACCGCCUGCCUCCGCCUCUUCCCCUACAGCGCGCUGCAGCUCGCCGCCUCCCGCCGACUUGUUAUACUUUUCACGGAUGAGCUGGGUCAUAUUUCCCACUGGAGAGCCAUCAUGGCAGGAAGUCUGGCUGGCAUGGUUGCAACCAUCGUGACUUACCCCACUGAUGUAAUUAAAACACGUCUCAUUGUGCAGAACCGACUGGAACCAUCUUAUGAAGGAAUUCUUCAUGCUUUUUACAAAAUUUAUCGUCAAGAAGGACUCCUUGCACUCUACCGUGGUGUUUCACCAGCUAUAUUAGGUGCUGUCCCAUUUUCUGCAGGCUCAUUCUUUGUUUACAUAAAUCUGGACAAAAUCUGGAGAGAACCCAUAGUUCAUUUCACUCCUCUUCAGAACUUCAUAAAUGGCUGUGUAGCAGCUGGUGUGGCACAGACACUUUCUUUCCCCUUUGAGACUGUCAAGAGGAAGAUGCAGGCCCAGAGUCCUUGGCUUCCCCACUAUGGAGCGGUUGAUGUCCAUUUUACUGGCAUGGCUGACUGUUUUCGGCAGACUGUGAAGAACAAAGGUGUGCUUGGACUUUGGAGUGGACUCACACCCAGUCUGCUCAAGAUUGUCCCAUACUUCGGUGUUAUGUUUAGCACCUUUGAAUUCUGCAAGCGGGUCUGUCUGUACAGGAACGGUUAUAUUGAAUCCCCUUUAAAUUACAAGCUAACUCCUGGGGUGGACCAGAGUUUACAGCCACAAGAACUGAGAGAAUUAAAGCUCCUUCGAAGGGAAAAUUUUGAACCAAGGAAAUCAGCUUUUGAAAACUGACAUCAGAGUGUCCAUUGCAGAUAUACAUACUACCUUUCUUAAGGAACUUUGCAAGAAAGACAUGCUGAGCUACAGUGAUACCGUAUGGACGUGGCAUUCUGCAAAUGCAGAAUUAGUCUCAGUUCAGUCACACUCCAGAAUCCACUCUUUAUUCUUGAGACUUAUUUAAGAAUAAUGAUUUUAUAUGAAUCUUUGGUGUAGAGAUGAAAAUAUGCUGCUGCAACUUUGAUUUUGCUAAGAGAGAAUUGCAGUGUGCGAAAUGAACUGUAAUACACUGGAAUGACAAUCUUGCAAACUUAAGUGCAUACUGGAAAAUCUUCCCCCUUUUCUCCUGUGUUGUUCCUGUGUGUAUGUGAAUUAUUUCAGGCUUUGACAACUGGUUUUCCUGAAGUUCUCUAACUGAAAUAUUUCCUGAAAAACGCAGUUCUUAAAUGUGUUAGAUAUUUCAGAGCCAUAAGCCUUGUCAUGUUUUGCUAUUCUUAAAGCUCUAUUUUUAUAUUAAACUACUUUUUAGUUCCUAUGCGUAGACCCAGCCCUACUGUGCUGCUCAGAAUUUACCAGCAGAAUAGCACUGUGCACACAACCCGUGAUUUUCCCACUUCCAACUGUUGUGAUCUGGGAGCCACAGAUUAGUUCCUGUAGGUAGGAACCUCUGUGAGACCACUAGGUUAUUGCCAGUGGCAAUGCCAUUGGUAGUCCUCUGACCAGUGCAGGGAGCUUUUGGACAAUAAAAGAUCAUUGGUAUUAUACCCGAGGACCUGGGGUAUUGCUCCGGUUCCUUUGUGGAAGUACAGCCGUGGAAGAGCCCCAUCCAAGUGCCUUAAAGCCCAUGUCUGCGUGGGAAGGUGCCUCUGCCCUCGGCGUGCCCCACCAGCCUCGGGCUGUGGCAGCCUGUGAGUGAAUCACAGCAGCCAGCGAGGCAUGUCCACGCCAGCUGAGCUCCUGCCCUAGCUGCAGCACCCUGGCUCAGCACAGGAUUUGCCUGCUGGUUUACACGGCUCUAUGUGCGUGUUUUUGUACCAUUUAUGACCCUGCUGGGUGGAAAUAAGUAAAUCUCAGAAACUGCUUGGUUAAGCCAGGUCACAGCGGGAUGAGGCAGUGGCAGAUCGAUGCAAGAAGUCUGUGACUACGGAGAGAGAUUUGCAGAAAGGUUUGUGAUAAGUAAGGCCUGCCUUGCACCUAGAACUCAACAUUGAUGUACCCUACAGCUAGUCCCUUAAAUGUGCUUGCUCAGUUCUGCUGCAGUGGUGCUUCGUAUUGGUUUUCUUCUUAGAGAAGAAAUACAAGCAUGGAUAGCGAGAAUUAAGGUUGUAGAGAGCAGAUCUGGUGGCUCUUGCAUCACACUGAGGCUGUAAAUGCCUUUGGCGCUCUAGUCAACCUGCCUAGUGAACAUGCUUCUCCGUGCCUCAGUUUCCCCAUCAGCACAGUGCAGGUAAUAAUACUGAGGCUUAUUUCAGGUGUGUGAAUAAGGAGAUGUGACUUGUGGGCAUGUUGGGGACAAAUGGAUUUUCAGAGUGGCCUUACCUCGUCCAAGCAUACCUGUAUGUUUUUCACUAAUGUUGUAUUUCUAAAUAGAUUUUAAAGAUUGACUGAUGGGUGCAUAUGAAUGUCUGAUCAGCUCUUCAAAACUGGUAAGAGUCAAGCGAGUCAAGAAAUUACCCCUACCUUGUUUCUGAUAUGCUGAUAGCACCUUUGUAUUGUAAUGCACUCCUGCAACUAUAAAUCACUUACUAACCUG